rfam:Aedes albopictus isolate Foshan contig33578, whole genome shotgun sequence.
UGCCCAGCAACUCCUAUCCCUACCUCCUCGCGGUACCGGCCGGAAACUAUGAGCAACCUUAGAGAAGAUCGGGUAACCAACCCCGAUGGGUACUUUGGUCGAAGGCUGACAGGGAAGG